GACGAACGCUGGCGGCGUGCUUAACACAUGCAAGUCGAACGGAAAGGCCCUGCUUUUGUGGGGUGCUCGAGUGGCGAACGGGUGAGUAACACGUGAGUAACCUGCCCUUGACUAUGGGAUAACUUCAGGAAACUGGGGCUAAUACCGGAUAGGAGCUCCUGCUGCAUGGUGCGGGUUGGAAAGUUUCGGCGGUUGGGGAUGGACUCGCGGCUUAUCAGCUUGUUGGUGGGGUAGUGGCUUACCAAGGCUUUGACGGGUAGCUGGCCUGAGAGGGUGACCGGCGACAAUGGGACUACGAUACGGCCCAGACUCCUACGGGAGGCAGCGGUGGGGAAUAUUGCACAGUGGGCGGAAGCCUGAUGCAGCAGCGCCGGGUGCGUGAUGACGGCCUUCGAGUUGUAAACCGCUUUCGCCUGUGACGAAGGGUGAGUGACGGUAAUGGAUAAAGAAGCACCGGCUAACUACGUG
rnacentral:rRNA from 1 species